rnacentral:rRNA from 1 species
GAUGAACGCUGGCGGCGUGCCUAAUACAUGCAAGUCGAGCGAACAGAUAAGGAGCUUGCUCCUUUGACGUUGGCGGCGGACGGGUGAGUAACACGUGGAUAACCUACCUAUAAGACUGGGAUAACUUCGGGAAACCGGAGCUAAUACCGGAUAACAUAUUGAACCGCAUGGUUCAAUAGUGAAAGGCGGCUUUGCUGUCACUUAUAGAUGGAUCCGCGCCGUAUUAGCUAGUUGGUAAGGUAACGGCUUACCAAGGCAACGAUACGUAGCCGACCUGAGAGGGUGAUCGGCCACACUGGAACUGAGACACGGUCCAGACUCCUACGGGAGGCAGCAGUAGGGAAUCUUCCGCAAUGGGCGAAAGCCUGACGGAGCAACGCCGCGUGAGUGAUGAAGGUCUUCGGAUCGUAAAACUCUGUUAUCAGGGAAGAACAAAUGUGUAAGUAACUGUGCACAUCUUGACGGUACCUGAUCAGAAAGCCACGGCUAACUACGUG